AACGAACGCUGGCGGCGUGCCUAAUACAUGCAAGUCGAGCGAAUGAUGAGGAGCUUGCUUCUCUGAUUUAGCGGCGGACGGGUGAGUAACACGUGGGCAACCUGCCCUGUAGACUGGGAUAACUUCGGGAAACCGGAGCUAAUACCGGAUAAUUCUUUUAGCCUCAUGGCUUUAAGCUAAAAGGCGCUUCGGCGUCACUACAGGAUGGGCCCGCGGUGCAUUAGCUAGUUGGUGGGGUAACGGCCUACCAAGGCAACGAUGCAUAGCCGACCUGAGAGGGUGAUCGGCCACAUUGGGACUGAGACACGGCCCAAACUCCUACGGGAGGCAGCAGUAGGGAAUCUUCCACAAUGGACGAAAGUCUGAUGGAGCAACGCCGCGUGAGUGAUGAAGGUUUUCGGAUCGUAAAACUCUGUUGUAAGGGAAGAACAAGUGCGUUAGGUAAUGAACGCACCUUGACGGUACCUUAUUAGAAAGCCACGGCUAACUACGUGCCAGCAGCCGCCGUAAGAC
rnacentral:rRNA from 1 species